rnacentral:lncRNA from 1 species
CUUGUACUCCCAUCCCUGCUAUAUGACUAGUCCACCGACCACUCCUAUGAGAAGCCACUCCAAGCAGACUGACCCCCGCCACUCAGUGCCUCUCCUACCAUAGCACCUGCCUCCUUUCCUAUCCUAUGCGUAAGAUAUAGCAGGGUUUGAUAUCCCCAUAUGACUUCAUAGCACAGCACAAUGACAGGCACAAAGGAGUUGCUUAGGAAAUGCUGAAAGUCAAAAUUCUCAAGUCUUCUUAAAGCAGCUCUUGGUAGAACCAACAUCCAUUUACUUGCCUGUUUCCCUAUAUCUUAGCUACAAAGAGGACAGGAUAACAUCUUAUUGAGAGGCAGAACGAGGCUAUUUUUCUUUCCCCUCCUUUUUCAAACUGAGAUAAUCAGCUUCAGUUCUGAGCUAUAGUUGGGACUUUGCCAAUUUAGAUAGAGCCUUGAGCUGGCCAACAAACUCACACACUGGUGCCAUCUAUUGGUCAAAAUUUAACCUUGUUCUUUAAUUAAAGCUGCUAGUUGAUCUUUGACCACUUUAAUCCUUUUAUUCCAUUCUGUUUCUGCUUUUAAGUAAAAUGGAAACUACCAUGUGCUUGUUGUAUGACCUUGGGCAAGUUACUUAUCCACUCUGAGCCCUCUCUUCAUUGGUAUAAUGAGGAUAAUAAUGUUACUUCCUCUCAGAGUCAUUGUGAGGAUUCAACGAGAUAAUAUGUAAAACGUAUUUAGUCUGGGACCUGGCACAUAGGAAAACCAUCCAGUAGGUGAUACUAGUCAUAAUAAUAGUAGUUGUGGUAGCUGAUAUUAUUAAUUUUAUAAAAGAAAUGAGAGUAUAGGCUUGAGUCAACUAAUGACUGAUUUAUUAUUUAUUGUCUAACCAGUCAAAACAUCUUUGCAGUGUUCAUCUCCAUUAAAAACAAACAAACAAACAAAAAACCCAAAAGUUAAAUGACAGAGGUCAAGUACUGUUUCCUGGACCACUCUUGACAUUCAAAUGGCAGCCCACAGGUUUUGGGAUCCUAUCCUAAGACAGCGGUUUUCAAACCUAUUUUCAUGCUUUUACAGGAAACCCUUUCUUUGGAAUUGUGUUUUGAAUCAAGCGCAGAAGCCUAAUAUAUAAGUCAG